rnacentral:rRNA from 1 species
UUCCGGUUGAUCCUGCCGGACCUGACUGCUAUCGGAUUGAUACUAAGCCAUGCGAGUCAUUGUAGCAAUACAAGGCAUACGGCUCAGUAACGCGUAGUCAACCUAACCUAUGGACGGGAAUAACCUCGGGAAACUGAGAAUAAUGCCCGAUAGAACAUUAUACCUGGAAUGGUUUAUGUUCCAAAUGAUUUAUCGCCGUAGGAUGGGACUGCGGCCUAUCAGUUUGUUGGUGAGGUAAUGGCCCACCAAGACUAUUACAGGUACGGGCUCUGAGAGGAGUAGCCCGGAGAUGGGUACUGAGACACGGACCCAGGCCCUAUGGGGCGCAGCAGGCGAGAAAACUUUGCAAUGUGCGAAAGCACGACAAGGUUAAUCCGAGUGAUUUCUGCUAAAGAAAUCUUUUGUUAGUCCUAGAAACACUAACGAAUAAGGGGUGGGCAAGUUCUGGUGUCAGCCGCCGCGGUAAAACCAGCACCUCAAGUGGUCAGGAUGAUUAUUGGGCCUAAAGCAUCCGUAGCCGGCUCUGUAAGUUUUCGGUUAAAUCUGUACGCUUAACGUACAGGCCGCCGGGAAUACUGCAAAGCUAGGGAGUGGGAGAAGUAGACGGUACUCGGUAGGAAGUGGUAAAAUGCUUUGAUCUAUCGAUGACCACCUGUGGCGAAGGCGGUCUACUAGAACACGUCCGACGGUGAGGGAUGAAAGCUGGGGGAGCAAACCGGAUUAGAUACCCGGGUAGUCCCAGCUGUAAACUAUGCAAACUCAGUGAUGCAUUGGCUUGUGGCCAAUGCAGUGCUGCAGGGAAGCCGUUAAGUUUGCCGCCUGGGAAGUACGUACGCAAGUAUGAAACUUAAAGGAAUUGGCGGGGGAGCACCACAAGGGGUGAAGCCUGC